ensembl:lncRNA
GUUAUUACCCUCCCAGACCACCACCUCCUUUGAUCUCUAACAGAGGGGUUACAGGUUAUUACCCUCCCAGACCACCAUCUCCUGUGAUCUCUAACAGAGGGGUUACAGGUUAUUACCCUCCCAGACCACCACCUCCUUUGAUCUUUAACAGAGGGGGUACGGGUUAUUACCCUCCCAGACCACCACCUCCUUUGAUCUCUAACAGAGGGGGUCCAGGUUAUUACCCUCCCAGACCACCACCUCGUUUGAUCUCUAACAGAGGGGGUCCAGGUUAUUACCCUCCCAGACCACCACCUCGUUUGAUCUCUAACAGAGGGGGUACAGGUUAUUACCCUCCCGGGCCAGACCAUCACCUCCUUUGAUCUCUAACAGAGGGGGUACAGGUUAUUACCCUCCCGGGCCAGACCACCACCUCCUUUGAUCUCUAACAGAGGGGGUACAGAUUAUUACCCUCCCGGGCCAGACCACCACCUCCUUUGAUCUCUAACAGAGGGGGUACAGGUUAUUACCCUCCCCGGCCAGACCAUCAAAGCCAGAGAUCUACCACGAUGUCGUGAUGUCACAGACACCAGCGUUGCGUGCUAAGCGCUCGUGGCGGGGGGAUGGCAGAUGGGACGAGGGAUAUUGUUUAUUUGGGGGGAUAGAGAGAGGAGGGGUUUUUGUCAAGGGGAAGGGAGGAUCGCUGACUGAG